GACAGAGGAUGCAAGCGUUAUCCGGAAUGAUUGGGCGUAAAGCGUCUGUAGGUGGCUUUUUAAGUCUGCCGUCAAAUCCCAGGGCUUAACCCUGGACAGGCGGUGGAAACUACCAAGCUGGAGUACGGUAGGGGCAGGGGGAAUUUCCGGUGGAGCGGUGAAAUGCGUAGAGAUCGGAAAGAACACCAACGGCGAAAGCACUCUGCUGGGCCGGAACUGACGCUGAGGCGCGAAAGCGUGGGGAGCAAACAGG
rnacentral:rRNA from 1 species